GUUAGGGUGGCAGAGCCCGGUAACUGCAUAAAACUUNNGCUUUUACAAUCAGAGGUUCAACUCCUCUCCCUAACA
rnacentral:tRNA from 1 species